rnacentral:lncRNA from 1 species
AAACUAUUGUCUUUCUCUCUGUUUGAGUCAAGUACUCACCACAUUUUAUACACUGCAGUGCUAGCUAGCUGUAGUUUAUACUUUCUGUACUAGAUUAAUUAUAUGAUCCUUUGAUUGGGUGGACAACAUGUCAGUUCAUGCUGCAAGAGCUCUGAUAGGCUGGAGGAUGUCCUACGGAAGUUGUCAUAAUUACUGUCUAAGUCUAUGGAAGGGGGUGAGAACCAUGAGCCUCCUAGAUGUUGUAUUGAAGGCAAUGUACCCAGAUGAGGACGGAAGCUUGCUGUCCUCUGCCUACACCAUGGUGCUACCCUACAGAGUGCUGUUGAGGCUACUGUAGACCUUCUUUGCAAAAUAGUGUGUUUUAAUCAGUUAUUUGGUGACGUGAUUAUGUUUAGUAUAGUUUGAUCUAAAAAGGAUAUGUUUUUAAUGUUUUACAAUUUACAUUUUUAUGAAAUUCAAUGAGGAGGAUGGUCCUCCCCUUCCUCCUCUGAGGAGCCUCCACUGCCCCCCACACACCAUACAGACACACCGUUGAGAGGAGCACAGGAUCAAGCUGCAGUGCAACGCCCCUGAAUGGAGAGCAUGUUGCGGAGUUAAUGGCUUUGCUCAAGGGUGCAACGCGCCCGGCCCAGGAUUCAAACAGGCCGCCUUUCGGCAACAGGUCUAACUCCUUAACCGCUGGGCUACCUACCACCCAUAUUCACAGAAAGUUUACCAACAAGUUUGUUUAAACCUCAAAAGGUUCUACAGCUGCACCAUCGAGAGCAUCCUGACUGGUUUGGCAAAUGCUCGGCCUCCGACUGCAAGGCACUACAGAGGGUAGUGCGUACGGCCCAGUACAUCACUGGGGCCAAGCUUCCUGCCAUCCAGGACCUCUAUACCAGGCGGUGUCAGAGGAAGGCCAUAAAAAUUGUCAAAGACUCCAGCCCCCCUAGUCAUAGAAUGUUCUCUCUGCUACCGCAUGGCAAGCGGUACCGGAGCGCCAAGUCUAGGUCCAAGAGGCUUCUAAACAGCUUCUACCCCC